AUUUACAAGUGUUGACUUUAACUUCUAAUAUCUCCUUCACUCCAACUUAGAAUCCAUCAAAAAAUAUGUCAAAAGUAUAGCCACAAAAAUGUUCUCUCCAAUCCUAGUUGCUGAUUUUCUUCUACUUUUUGUAUAUGUGCAUUAUAUUUAAAAGAAUGACAAUAAGUACAAAAUCAAUAUCUUGACUUUGAGUGCCUAUAUCUCCAUAAAAACUCCAAUUGAGUCAAAAUUUGCACCAAAACCAUAUUCAAAAAUCUAAACUUGCUGAUCUUAGCUUUCAAAAGCUUGAGUGGCUCAAAAGUAUAAUCCUA
rnacentral:lncRNA from 1 species